rnacentral:lncRNA from 1 species
UGCGAGAAACUGGUGUUUCGAUCUGGGUAUAUCUCCACCAUCUCUCUCAUCGAUCUUCGUUUUCUGGGGUUGAAUCCAACGGUGGAUCCUGAAAAUCCACAACUACACCUCCGUCGUCAUCCCAGCAGAAGACCGUCGUUCCUCCCAGCUAAACCAUAUCCCCGAUCUUGAGAUCUGUAUUCUACCUCUCAAAUUUCCAUACUUCCUAACUUUCCAGAUCUUUAUGUUUUUGCCUCACAAAUAUACACGAUCGGCUAUUAGUGAUAUAUAUGGUGCAACCCUACAGUGAUGGGUUUGACAGUAAUAAACCGAUUCCCACUCAUUCAGUGUCCUCUUCGCCUUCGCCCCAUCGCGUCUGGGUCAAGCGAGCAGCGACAAUAAGCUUUGUGGCUGUGAGAGAGGGUUAAGCACGAGUCCAGUUCAAGUUGGUUAAAGCUGACUGUUGCCAGAUUGGAAGGGUUGAAGCAGAGCUCGGAGAAAAUAAUACGUUAAGGAAAAAGCACAGGAGGUAAACUAAACUCGACCUCCACACUGGUAUAUCCAUCACAGCCGCAAUUUCCAUCUUUGUCUUCUGCUCCUACAUCUGAGAUUUCCCCAUUUCCCAGGUUGGUCUCCUCCAGCUAUGUUUUUAUGGUUCUACAUAUUUUUGGGUAAUACAUCAUGAUAUUGAUUGGGUCUGUUGUUUUGUUGAAAUUCAAGACCGAGAAUGCAAAGAAAAGCAAGGCGGCAGGGAGCAACUUAUAGCUAGAAACGAAGGAAAAGGAGGUAAUUGAUAUCUAAAGAGACACUGUCUGAUGAUGUUUGAUGUAAUAUGUCAAAUUGUCCUGAUAAUGAAUAAUUGGGAUGCAUAUGGAGUUGUGGGUGUGCAUGGUAUAUUUGGUUAUAUUGCAGAGAUGCUAUCUGUGGUAUGUACAAACAUCGGUAUGCAGUGUAUGUAGUGAUUGUUGACUCUGCAGUGGGCUGGCAAAAGUUUGUGCUUUUGUUUCAUUUCUUCUGGUUUAUUAGUUGUCCACUUCAUUUCCAGCUUGUUCCAAAUAGAAGGGAUUGAGGGAUAUUUAUGUACCUGUUUCUUUUAGGAUUAGUUCUAGACAAGAUGUCACUAGGACUCGAUUUAGCAGAUAUGCUUUUGAAAUAAUAUGGAC